GACGAACGCUGGCGGCGUGCUUAACACAUGCAAGUCGAACGGAAAGGCCUGCUUUCCCUUGUGGAUUGCGGGUACUCGAGUGGCGAACGGGUGAGUAACACGUGAGUGAUCUGCCCCCAACUUGGGUAUAAGCCUGGGAAACUGGGUCUAAUUCCCGAUAGGACUGCAGGGUGGUGCCUGUGGUGGAAAACGAUUUUCUAGUGGUUGGGGAUGAGCUCGCGGCCUAUCAGCUUGUUGGUGGGGUAAUGGCCUACCAAGGCGGCGACGGGUAGCCGGCCUGAGAGGGUGGACGGCCACAUUGGGCCUGAGAUACGGCCCAGACUCCUACGGGAGGCAGCAGUGGGGAAUAUUGCACAAUGGGCGGAAGCCUGAUGCAGCGACGCCGCGUGGGGGAUGACGGCCUUCGGGUUGUAAACUCCUUUCGACCGCGAGGAAGCCACCUGGUUGGAAGGGUGGUGACGGUAGUGGUAGAAGAAGCACCGGCUAACUACGUG
rnacentral:rRNA from 1 species